rnacentral:rRNA from 1 species
UACGAAGGGGACUAGCGUUGCUCGGAAUUACUGGGCGUAAAGGGCGCGUAGGCGGCACUGUUAGUCAGGCGUGAAAGUCCUGGGCUCAACCUGGGAACUACGCUUGAUACGGCAGAGCUAGAGGAUGGAAGAGGCUCGCGGAAUUCCCAGUGUAGAGGUGAAAUGCGUAGAUAUCUGGAGGAACACCGGUGGCGAAGGCGGCAUCCUGGACCAACACUGACACUGAGGAGCGAAAGCCAGGGGAGCAAACGGG